rnacentral:lncRNA from 1 species
UAAAGCAACGGAGAGAGAGAGAGUGGGUAAGGUUAAUGCAAAGUCACCACCACCCACUACGGCGGAGGAGAGAGAGAGAGAGAGAGAGAUACGAUUAGGAAAUGGAAUGAUGGUGGAAGCUCCGCCGUUAGAUUGGGCUGCUGCUGCCUUUUCUCUUGUGUUCGUCGUUUAAGUUAUGGUACACCGUACAUGAUCCCAAAGUUUUGUGUUCGUCGUUAAGGAAAUACUUCUAUUAAACCAAGGAAACCUGAGCAAAGCACACAAAAAACCAAAAGCAUAUAAAACACACUUCCAUUCUUUGAUUU